rnacentral:misc_RNA from 1 species
GAAAUGCGAUAAGUAGUGUGAAUUGCAGAAUUCAGUGAAUCAUCGAAUCUUUGAACGCACAUUGCGCCCUUUGGUAUUCCUUAGGGCAUGCCUGUUCGAGCGUCAUCUAAACCUUCAAGCCCUGCUUGGUGUUGGGUGCCUGUCCCGCCUCCGCGCGCGUACUCACCUCAAAUCCAUUGGCGGCCCCCGCGUCGGCCACGAGCGCAGCAGAAACGCGAACUCGUGAGCCCGUCCGGGCGGCUCCCAGAAGCUACACCCACCCAGUUUGACCUCGGAUCAGGUAGGGAUACCCGCUGAACUUAAGC